UUUUCAGGUAGUCUUCAUUUUGUUUUCAGUUAGUCUUCUUUGUUUUUCAGUGGGUUUUUGUGCUUCAGUUAGACUUACUUGGGUUUCAGUUGGUCUUUAUUCUUUUUCAGGUAGUCUACAUUUUUCUUCAGGUAGUCUUCAUUUUGUUUCAGUUAGUCCAUUAUUUCUUUCAGUUGGCCAUUAUUUCUUUCAGUUGGUCCAACUGAAAGAAAAGAAGGUCCAACUGAAAGAAAAGAAAGUCUAACUGAAAGAAAAGAAAGUCCAACUGAAAGAAAAGAAAGUCCAACUGAUAGAAAACAAAGUCCAACUGAAAGAAAACAAAGUCCAACUGAAAGAAAAGAAAGUCCAACUGAAAGAAAACAAAGUCCAACUGAAAAGAAAACAAAACACUAACCUCUACUUUCUCUCACUUUCUCCUUCUUCUUCAUGGUGUCACCAGAAUUAUCACCAUCUCCACUUGAAGGACGCGUUAUUAUUGUUGGUGAAAUAUGAUUGCGCCUGGCACUCACUGCGGUUCCGAUCAUCUUCUCGAUUUUCUCGGCAUUCAGACAACUUCUGUGAAGAAGAAAAAGCAUUUGGGGAAUAGUUAUUCCAUGUGUCUGCUUUGUCUUGAUGUAUUUGAGGGUUAGCAAAUUUGGAAUUGGCAACGUUCUUAUGAAGUUUAGAGGUUGAUCUAAUAACAGACAAGCUUCCAUUGUGGUGACCUCAAAGAGAAGCAGAGAGAAAAUGUAUUGGGCUCAGCCCGUCUGACAGAAAACAAUACGUCAGACGGUCUGACCCAAUACUUUCACUAUUAAUAAUUACAAGUAGAGUAGUAAAGUACUCCCUCUGUUUUUUUUUUAUCUUUCUCACUUAGAAUCUUGGCACUAUUCAUACUUUAAAAAAACUAAUAUAAACCCGGUGCACACUAAUUAGUGUGCACCUGAU